GCUGGUUUGUGUAUGCAUAAUUUGCUGUGAUCAUGCUAUAAAUCAAGAUGAGACUGCUAAAAUUAUGUAUGACCUCAUUUGAUAGAUUAUCUAAUAAGAAAUUUGCUAAUGCAGUUUAUCUCUUAAAAAGCCAUACGACUGCUAAGGAUGAGUACUUUACUGCAGCACAUUUAAACCUAAUUGUCAGAGGAGAAAAGCAAGCGGAUUUCAGAGGUGAGUUAGAAGAGCAUCCUUAUGAGGAUGAUGUCUUCACUAAAUCAGUGGUGCAAUGCAGCAAGCAGGGUGGAAAGGAGUCUCCUCUGGAUAAAGGUACAGAAAGCUGCUAGACAAGGCUGUGCUGUGUGAGAAUACUGCAUGGACUCACUCAUCAGUAGUAUAUGUAAAUAGUUGUAUCCUAACUGGCAUGCUUGCUUUUAUUGUUUAAUCUAGUGUUAUCUUUUAAUUUUUUCUGACAUUUCAGUUCUGUUUCACUGUCUUGCAAGCAGAUCUAAAAUCCCCGAUAUGUGCAAAGAAACUACUAGCCUAGACCUCUAGCUCUAACUUGCUAUUCUGGUUAUGAUGCCUGUCAGAAUAAAAAGGGUAAUUGUUUUGCUGCUAUAUGUUACCAUCAAAUAUUUUUGUUCUUCCAGUCCUGUGACUCAUUUAAAAAGACUGAACAUCACUUUGAUGUAUACAAACAGAACUAGAAAGCAGCUCAAGCCAAUGAAAUAAAGCUUGUUUUGCAGGGCAGCAAGCCAAGCUGCAAGCCGACGAUCAAAGGUCAGGCAGCGCUGCUGAAUCUCACCAGUUCUCAGGAUCUCCGCUGGAAACAAAUGCUUUCACAGCUGAGCACGUUUCUAAGGGCUGCUGAAAGCUACAUUUCAAUUAAUGCAGAGAACAAGACCAAGCUUCUGCAGAUGGAAAGGCUGAAAACGUGAAUUUUGAGAGCCAGAUUUUGUCUGCACUACUCAAGUAG